UGGGGAAUUUUGGACAAUGGGCGAAAGCCUGAUCCAGCAAUGCCGCGUGUGUGAAGAAGGCCUUCGGGUUGUAAAGCACUUUUGUCCGGAAAGAAAUCCUUGGCUCUAAUACAGUCGGGGGAUGACGGUACCGGAAGAAUAAGCACCGGCUAACUACGUGCCAGCAGCCGCGGUAAUACGUAGGGUGCAAGCGUUAAUCGGAAUUACUGGGCGUAAGCGUGCGCAGGCGGUUUGCUAAGACCGAUGUGAAAUCCCCGGGCUCAACCUGGGAACUGCAUUGGUGACUGGCAGGCUAGAGUUAUGGCAGAGGGGGGUAGAAUUCCACGUGUAGGCAGUGAAAUGCGUAGAGAUGUGGAGGAAUACCGAUGGCGAAGGCAGCCCCCUGGGCAAUACUGACGCUCAUGCACGAAAGCCGUGGGGAGCAAA
rnacentral:rRNA from 1 species